GACGAACGCUGGCGGCGUGCUUAACACAUGCAAGUCGAACGGAAGGGCCCUGCUUUUGUGGGGUGCUCGAGUGGCGAACGGGUGAGUAGCACGUGAGUAACCUGCCCUUGACUUUGGGAUAACUUCAGGAAACUGGGGCUAAUACCGGAUAGGAGCUCCUGCUGCAUGGUGGGGGUUGGAAAGUUUCGGCGGUUGGGGAUGGACUCGCGGCUUAUCAGCUUGUUGGUGGGGUAGUGGCUUACCAAGGCUUUGACGGGUAGCCGGCCUGAGAGGGUGACCGGCCACAUUGGGACUGAGAUACGGCCCAGACUCCUACGGGAGGCAACAGUGGGGAAUAUUGCACAAUGGGCGGAAGCCUGAUGCAGCAACGCCGCGUGCGGGAUGACGGCCUUCGGGUUGUAAACCGCUUUCGCCUGUGACGAAGCGUGAGUGACGGUAGUGGGUAAAGAAGCACCGGCUAACUACGU
rnacentral:rRNA from 1 species